AGUAAUGCAUAGGAAUCUGCCCGGUAGUGGGGGAUAACCUGAGGAAACUCAGGCUAAUACCGCAUACGCCCUACGGGGGAAAGCAGGGGAUCUUCGGACCUUGCGCUAUCGGAUGAGCCUAUGUCGGAUUAGCUUGUUGGUGAGGUAAUGGCUCACCAAGGCCGCGAUCCGUAGCUGGUCUGAGAGGAUGAUCAGCCACAUCGGGACUGAGACACGGCCCGAACUCCUACGGGAGGCAGCAGUGGGGAAUAUUGGACAAUGGGCGAAAGCCUGAUCCAGCCAUGCCGCGUGUGUGAAGAAGGCCUUCGGGUUGUAAAGCACUUUCAGUGAGGAAGAACGCCUCUGGGCUAAUACCCCAGAGGGAAGACAUCACUCACAGAAGAAGCACCGGCUAACUCCGUGCCAGCAGCCGCGGUAAUACGGAGGGUGCGAGCGUUAAUCGGAAUUACUGGGCGUAAAGCGCGCGUAGGCGGCGUGAUAAGCCGGUUGUGAAAGCCCCGGGCUCAACCUGGGAACGGCAUCCGGAACUGUCAGGCUAGAGUGCAGGAGAGGAAGGUAGAAUUCCCGGUGUAGCGGUGAAAUGCGUAGAGAUCGGGAGGAAUACCAGUGGCGAAGGCGGCCUUCUGGACUGACACUGACGCUGAGGUGCGAAAGCGUGGGUAGCAAACAGGAUUAGAUACCCUGGUAGUCCACGCCGUAAACGAUGUCGACUAGCCGUUGGGGUCCUUGAGACCUUUGUGGCGCAGUUAACGCGAUAAGUCGACCGCCUGGGGAGUACGGC
rnacentral:rRNA from 1 species